AGAGUUUGAUCAUGGCUCAGAACGAACGCUGGCGGCGUGGCUAAGGCAUGCAAGUCGAACGGACUCGGAGUUUGGGUAACUGAAUUCCGGGUUAGUGGCGGACGGGUGAGGAAUACAUGGAUAACGUACCCCGGGCACGGGAAUAGCGGCGUCCCGAGAAAUCGGGACUUUGCGUAAGCGCCGGUAAUACCCGAUGAUCCCGCGGGAGCACAUGCUCCUGCGGGCAAAGCCCCGACGGCCUGGGAUCGGUCCAUGUCCUAUCAGCUAGUUGGUGAGGUAACGGCUCACCAAGGCGACGACGGGUAGCGGGUGUGAGAGCAUGACCCGCCACAUCGGGACUGAGACACUGCCCGGACACCUACGGGUGGCUGCAGCAACGAAUAUUCCGCAAUGGGCGCAAGCCUGACGGAGCGACGCCGCGUGCAGGAUGAAGUCUCUCGGGAUGUAAACUGCUGUCAGGGGCUAGAAAGCAAGUGAUCAGCCCCAGAGGAAGCCUCGGCAAACUCCGUGCCAGCAGCCGCGGUAAUACGGAGGAGGCAAGCGUUGUUCGGAAUCACUGGGCUUAAAGGGCGUGUAGGCGGAAUGCAAGGUGCUUUGUGAAAUCCCCCGGCUUAACCGGGGAACUGCUUGGCAAACCAGCAUUCUUGAGGCAGGCAGGGGCGACUGGAACCUUUGGUGGAGAGGUGAAAUUCGUAGAUAUCAAAGGGAAUGCCGAUGGCGAAAGCGAGUCGCUGGGCCUGUCCUGACGCUGAGGCGCGAAAGCGUAGGGA
rnacentral:rRNA from 1 species